AAAAGUAUGGGAUUUCAAGGGAUUAAGCUAAUGAAGGUAAAAUUUCUUGAUUUUGACUUGUGAUUUACACUACCCAUGCUUUCUUUUUUCAUUUUCCAUGGUUAGAUUUCAUGUUUUCAUGGUGAAUUCAUGGUGGUUGGAAUGGGUAUGGAGAGAGAAUGAUUGUUGUCUAGAAACACAACAACAAGAAAAGAAUUCAUUUUCCCCAUCACCCAUCAAUGGCCGAAUUUUCUAGGGAGGAUAUUGUGGCUGAAAUUGAUGAUAUUUUAUGAUAUUUUGGAGAUAUUUGAUGUUUGGUGAGGCUAGAAAUUAAAUGGGAAAUUUUGGUGUGAAAAUCUGAAUUUUUGGUUAACGUAUAAACAUGUGUGAUUAUUGACCCGGGAUUGAUAAAUUGAAUCUCAUUCACAGUCACUCAGGUAAUUUAGGUAUAAUUGGAGUGUAGAAAGUGAGAAGAAUUGAUUUGGAGUUAAAUUGGAGAUUUUAGCCGAUUAGGCUGAGUAUAGUGUGACUUAGGUCGAAUAUCACAUUCAAGUGAUUAAUCAGACAUUUUGCAUCCCAUCGAAUGCAUUCAUUUAGAUUUAGAGAGCCUAAAAUAGGUUAUGAUAAAUCGACACAAUUUAUCAAAAUUCGUGUCACGUAUGAUGUUGUGAUACCCCAACUUCUAUAGGUUUGUAACUAAGUAUAGAUGUAAUAAUAUGGGCUAGGGGUAGUUUCAUCAUUUUCUUUAAUAAGCUUCCAGAAGAAAGUUUUAUGAUAUUUUAAGGCCUAAAUAGGCAUAAGACAGUAUAAAUGAUGCGUGCUGAUGAAAACACGAAGAAAACUAGAAGUUUCAAUAAUUUUCAUAAUAGGGGUAAAAUGGUCAUUUUUCACCUCAAGUUAAAAUUUUAUGUUUUUAUGAACCCGAGCAUGUUUAGACCAUUAUGGAUAUUGUCCCAGUGUUAAAAGAGCACAAAGAUUGCAUAAAAGAUUGGAGGAGAGUAAGUUAAUUGGUGGAGGGGCAUUUUCAUAAUUUUAAAGGAAAGGAUAAGAUUGCCUAUAAAUACCUUGAAUUUCCAGCAGCUUCUUGAAUUUUCCAGCAGCUGGUCUUCUUCUUCCCUUCUCCUCUCUCACGUUUCUUCAAACUCCAUGGAAGCUUGAUUUUCAAACUUCCACAACUUUCUCUCUCUAGCUCCAAUUUUCAUGCUUUUGGUGCACCCUUCCAUAAACCCUUGUGCUAUUUCAUCUUCUCACUUCAAAAACCUUGAAAUAUCUUGUUUUCAUACUUUUUCUCACUAAUUGGGCAUUCUAGAGAGAGAAAGAGAGAAUCACUCCAUUGAUUUGGAAGCUAUUGGAAGAGAAUCCAUCUACAAAGGAACCCUAGGGUGAGUGAUGCACCAAGUUUGAUUUUAGCUGCAGAAAAUGGCUAGUAAUUGUGAUUUAUGAGCUGUUUUAUUGUUUAGUAUGUUCAUUACUUUUUAGUGAUUAAGAUAGUGAACAUAGAUAGCCAUUUAAAGUGGCAAUUGAAAACUAGCUAAGAGAUAGCUUUUAGAGUUCAUAGUGUGUAAAUUAAUCUAUUGUUUAUGUUAAUGUGAUCCUAGGUUUUUAAGGAAGCACCAUCAUUCCAAUUGGAUCAUUAGGGGAAUUUGAGUCAAUUAAAAGUUCUACAAUCAAUUGGUGAGUGGACUACCUUCAAAACUGAUUUUGGGAAUAUGAUGGAUUUGACAAAGUGUUUGAAUGAUUUUAUACAAUUUUUCAUGAAAAUGAAUGCCUUGGGAACAAGCUUUUGAGAAAAGGUUUAUGUUAUGAAAUGUGAUUAUUAUGGAUUUCUAUGUGGCUGCAUUAUGUUGAUAUACAUAUAUGCUUGAGUAUAAUGUUGUGUAAUUAUAUUGACUCGGUUAUGUGCGAGUAGGGAGUGCGCAUAACCCGGUGAUGACCCAGCCAUGUGCUAGUAGGGAGUGCGCAUGAGCUGGUGAUGAUGAUGAUGGGAUGGUGUGAUGAUGAUGAUGGGUAUAUAUGUAUAUAUAUAUAUAUAUUUAUGUAAAUAUGUGUGUUAUAGGAAAUUGAUGGAUAAUGGGUUAUGGUUGUAAUGCAUGUGAAACUUGACAUGUUAAACCUUGAGAAAAUGUUAUGUGUUUUCAUGUUGGUUUGAACCUUUUGGCAAGGUGGUUUUUCCUUUGGGAGAAAGGUAAAUUUUGCAUUGAUGCCUUGUAUUUCACUGCAGCAAGAAACUCUCGGGUUUUGAAAGGGUAGGCUGGCCAGAAACUCGCUGCAGCGAGAAUGACACUGUAGCUUCUCGCUGCAGCUAGAAACUUUCUGUUUUCUGGGUUGCAAUUUCGCUGCAGCGAAUUCAAUCUCGCUACAGCGAGAAACAUUCUGUUUUUGGGUAGAAAUUUUGCUGCAGCGAAAAACUUUUUGUUUUGGUCUCUUAUCUUGUCCAAUUGCUGCCCUAUCUUUCACUUCUUUGCUACCAUAUGGGAGCAUGGACUUCCAACAUUAAGGAUUAAAAGAGUUAAGUUUAAAAUGAGGAGGUUUAGUGAGAAACCCUCGGCCAGUUGAGAAACCCUCAUUUGGUUAACAACUAAAUUUCAAUGUCGCUGCAAUGAAAAUUCAUUCUCGCUGCAGCGAAGAUUCGUUGUUGUAUUUGACUUGCUUGUGCAAUAUUGAAGCUUUCAUUCUUCAAAUGAUUCGCUAUGUAUGGGUUCAUGAUUUUCAAAUGAUUAAUCACUUAAGGGCUCGAUAAGGGGUUUUAUUAGGAAUGAACCAAAUUGUAUUGUUUUGAAACUAGUGCAUCAUGAUUUUAAAUUUUCCUUUGUUGUUGCUUGUUCCCUUCCUUGUUCACUCACUGGGUUUAUACUCACCAUUUCAAAUUCAUAUUUUCAGAUCACGAGGCAGUCGGUAACUAGGACGAGGUAUCCUUGUAGACCUGUGUCCAUCUUUUGGUAGGUGUCUCGACAUUCAGUAGCUGUACAUUCAUUCGAGUCCCUCCGCUGGAAGUCAAGUCUUCCUUUUGAGAUGUAUAGGUGAACCUAAUGCACAUUAUUGGAAUACAUGUUGUAGAUAAUGUAUGUAUAUAAUAAAUGAGAAAUGCUAAUACGAGUUGGCAAUGUCUAUUACUAUUUUUAUUUUAAGUUUUAAAAAAUGAUUUAGCAGUUUAUGAUGGAAUGAUGAACACGUCGGACUAUUAGGCUUGCUUGGGCUUAGUGGACUACGUCCAUUGGGCCCAUGCACCGGUCAUGGCCCAGAAUUUGGGUCGUGACAGAUGUAUAGGUGGUGAGCCCUCUAACAAGGGUAAAAAGAUUGUGCUCGAAGACUGAGAAUAGAAGUAUAUCGAACUCCUAGUACUGUGAGUAACCUUAUUAUCAUUUUAAUCAUCUAAAGUAUGUUUUAAUUCGAUUUUGGCGAAAUUUUAUGAAAAUGAGUUAAAUGGCAAAUUUUAGGUUUUAUAAACAAAAAUAAGUUUAAAUAAAAAGAUUUUAUAAAUUGUUUUGGAAACUGAAUGAUGAUUUUGAAAAUAAAGUAAUUGGAAACCACUGAUAUGUUGUAAAUUUUAGAUUGAAUUGAUGGCUUAUGUUAUUGUGUUGGCAUGACUAACUGGGCUGUGUUUUAUGAAUUGUAUGAAUUGUUUUAUUUUACCCUUGCAAUCUGGGUAGUAAUAAAUUAGCCUUGUCAUGCUGUCAAAAUUUUAUUGUAUGGUCGGUUUAGCUUUUUGCAGUAAGCGGGUUUUCGUGGACUAGCCUAUUAGAGGGGCACAAUAAACCCCAUUAUAUUUUACCUCGGUUGGAGAGGCGAGUAAGGUAACUCCCGAGGUAUGAUUUUAGAGUUAACUUCACGCCAAACCACCACGUGAAGGUGAGCUCGGCCAACGCCAAGGAACGACUAUAUUUUCAAAAUGAAAACAUGUUUUAUGCGUACAUUACUUUCUAAUAGCCUUGGCGAACUCAGUUGGGAUAGCCCUCGGCCAAGGUAUCCUAGAUAAUUGAGUAUGAUAACAAUUUUUGGCAUGAGCCAAGCUUUUUAAGAAAUUCAUAAGCCAUAUUGAUUACUUGAUUUAAAUAAAUUGAUUUCAUUUGGUUGAAAUAAGUUGAAAAUGAUAAAUUACAGUUUGAUGUAAUGUUUUAAUAGUCUUCUUUUACUCACCUUUAGAUAUUUUAAAUGAUAUUUGUUUACUCAAUGGAAUUUUAUAAUCUCAACCACCCUCCUUUCCACCAAUUUCAAGCAUUAAGAUAGUCGGUAAAUAGCUCAUUUCAUCGAGGACUACAAUUGGAUUGGCAUCCUCAAAAUAUGUAGGUUCAAUUCUUUUGACACUUUUAGUCAUUCGUGGGCCCACAUGUCACUGCAAAUUUAAUUUUAUACUUUGGUUAUUUAUAUUACAAUAUAUAUGAAUUUAUUUUUCUUUUUCGUUGUAAAAAUGAUUUACACAGUGUUCUAAUAAUAUUGUUUUAUGAAAAAAAUUGAAUAUUUUAUUCUAUAUCUUUAUUAUAUUUAAAUAGUUAUAAUUUCAUUUUAAAUGAAAGUUUGAGAUGUUUAAAUUUAUUUUUGAUUAUGAAUUAUGUGUUUAAUACUUGCAUACUACAUUUUUAACUGGUGUCGAAACUUUUGAGGAAAAAUGACCAAAAUGCCCUUGUGAGACAGAAAUAAUUUUUUUUUAUUGAUUUUAGUUAGAAAUAGCUUAAAUUCUUUUAGAACGUGAUAUUUGGUAACGAUUGCUCACCAGGGAAAAGAGAAACUGAUAUUAAAGCCUUGCGGGGUUCUGGUUGAUAAUCUAGGUAAUGAGUGUUGAUUGGGACAACGCAGCGGUUGUCACGGGCUCGAUGGGUGUUCCGGGUCGUGACAAUUAUAUUGGUAUCAGAGCUUUUGUUUUUAAAGAUAUGAGUUUUUGAUUUUAAAGUUAUUUAAAAACUACAGUGUCAGUGUGGCCCGAGUUAAGUUAAGUUAGGUUUGAUAGAAUAGAAUACGUGCAUCUGCACAUAGAAUUUGGAGCUAUUUUGACUCGUUUUAUUUCUUCUUAUAGAUAUUAUGGGAGCAUAAGUCAUAGACAGGGAGCUAUAUGAACUCCUGUUCUCAGUAAUCCACUUCUUUGUUAAUGUCAUGCAAAGGUCAUAAGUAGGGUUGUCGUCCGGGUUUAAGAUGCCACCCGUGACAUGAGCCAGUGUUGGAGAGAUCUUAAAACGAAUGCUCCUAAUGAAGGAUUAAUGAAAUGAUAUAUCCCUCCGAUUAAGGAUGGAGAAAUUUGGAGUUGGAUUAAUAGGCUGUGAUAAUUUAUUCAUUUGGUGGACUGUAUAAAUUAAGCAUUGAGGUAAAAGUAAACCUAUACUUAUGUGCAUGAAGAUAAGAACACUAUGCUAAUUAAGCUUGUUGUGCCCAUAUAAAGGUGGUGUUGGGAUUUUGAAAUAUUUUAUAUGUGAAUAUGUGUUGAAUUGGUACAGCAGCUUAGAGGGAACUGAUGUUGAUUUCAAUUAAGCGAUUGUGAGAUUUCAAGAAUUAAUUGGACCUAUUAUAGUUCAUGGAUAUAAGCACGUGAAUUAACUCGAGAGUGAGUAUCAAUGAUUACUAUAAUUAAUGUGUGGUCAUGAAGUAAGAAGUUAGUAAAUAAAUCUGCUCUAAGGAUGAGCUUGAACUUAUCUAUGCAUAGAAAAGAGGGAGCCAAGGGAUUAAAAGACUAAAUGUGGAAUUCGCAGCUUGAGGUUAAAUGACUUAGAAAUGUCGAAUCUAUUCUAAGUGCCAUAUGAAGUUCUAUAAUUGAGACUGAUUACGAAUUACUUGAAAAAUCAAUUUAAAAGUUUAUUCAGUUCAAAGUGUGGCCUAUGAUACGAAUGAUCAGUCUUGAAGGUGAUCUCCCUAGAGUAAGGAAUUUAGAAAAUGUUGAUACUUGGAUAUACUCUAAGAGAGAGAACUUCUGCAUCCUAAGUUUGAGACAACUUUGAUCUUAUGAUCGCAAAGGCAAGGUGUAAUAACUAAGUAAAUUUUUCGCUUAACAAAUGUGAUUGGUUAUUGAGGGAUACAGUCAAGAUCUUAACAUUUAGUGGUGUACAAUUUCAUAAUUAUGUAUUUAAGAGCUAUUUGGAGACAAUUCCUUCAUCAAAUUUGCACUAAAUGCUAUGGUAAAGGCAUAUCAAUGUUAAUAUGAAAAUGUAUCCAGGAAUGAUCUUAACACAUCACCAAAGGAGAAUUAAACAUGUUGAAAUUAAUGUUCUAAUAGUGUGCAUAUGAUCGAAAUCUAGUUUGAAAGUUGUAGUUUUCAUGAUCAUGAAAUAUAUAAAGAUUAUCAAUAUAUGGAUAUACACUUGGAGUUGUAAUUUACGAGUUUGGAGUAUUUAAGAUAUGAUUAAAUGGAAUUGGCAUUAGUUAAGGUACGUAAAUCUUCUAAUUAAAUUCUAUGGAGUAUGCAUGAUAGUAGAAUGAAGGAAUAUAGUGUCGUGAUACUAUAUGGUGAAGUUACUAUACAAUAUGGAAAGAGUGUUCUAAAGUGAGAUUUAUUGACUGAUGAUAAAGGAUGUGCAAUCUGAGAUACAUGUAGCUAUGAAUAAAUUUGGAGAUUUUUACUUAAGCAAAUUCGUACUAAAUGAUAUGGUAAAGAUAUAUGAAUGGUAACGGUAAAAUAAAUACGUUAAAUCAAUGUUCUGAUCGCCCACUUGUGAUAGAAAGUUAGUAUUGCUAAUUGUGGUAUAGACUCAGAGGGAAGCCACACGAGUAUGAAUAAUUGAGGUAGUAGUUUUAAAGGUGGAAUAGUUGCUGGAAUAAAGUGAAUUCAAAUAGUUACAAUGCCAUAGUACUGACUAUCAAACGCUGUCACGUUAAGAACCCCUAAUGGCUAGAAAGCAAGAGUAAAUUAUGAGCGGCAUAAAUAUGCAACUCACGAGUUGAAAUAUGGUUGUUGGUUUUGAUACUAAGCUUUGUUGUUUGGAGUCUUUAAGUGCAUUGGGGAGGUAUUAAGAUAAAGAUGAUCAGUGAAAUUGCAGAGUUUCUUUAUUGCCUUAUAUAUGGGCAUGUAAGAGAAAGAAAAGUUAGAGAGUUUUUGAGAUGGCUACAUAAAAAAAUAAAUUAACAUAUGGAGUGUUAAAAGGAAUAAUAUGUUGACUAAAGUCAAAUCUUAAGAAAUAAAGUGAAUCUUGUAAAAGGUUAAAGAGGAAGUGAGGGAAAGGUUAGAUGAAUGUAUGAGAUAUUGAUGAGAGAUGACAAUACCAAGUGAUAAAAGUGUGAAUAAAGAUUUUAAGAAUGAUAUAGCAAAUGAACUUAUAUAGAAUAUUGUUACGAGAAUUUACUAAUCUUGUUUUGACGACCUUGUUGAAAAGAAAGGAUUAGUAACAAUACAAGUAAAUUACGGGGUAUGAUAGAAACUUUUGGAGAUAAGUUGAACCAUGCGUAGUUGAGCAUGCAUGUAAAUAUUUUGGUGAGCAAGUGCAUGCCUUUAUGGAAAUGAUAUACUUGGAGUAUGAAAAAGCAAAUAAGUGAUUAAGUGUUUCAAGAAUAUUUAAAUACCUUUGACGAAGAAUUAUAAAUUAUACAAGAUGAGUAUAAGAUGUGUGAUUUUGAAACUUGCUGAGGAGUCAAAUGGCUAAGUCACGAGUUAAGUAAUCAUCUGUUGUGAGACAUAAGUUUAAGAUAGAUAUUCCCAAGGAAAUACUCAAGAGAAGUUUUGCUCUGGAUCUCGUUAAAGCAAGCACUAAGUUAUGUGAUUAUAAAAAGGAAGCUGUAAGCUGAGAGUGAUAUUAGUAUUAAUAUUGAAAAAUACUUGAGGAGAAUCUAGUUUUAAGUUUUACAAUUUCAAGUACAAUUUAUAAAUUGGUUAAGGAAGAAUGAUGUUAUGUUCAUAUGAAGGAGUGGAACAAAGGAUGAUAGAAGUUGACCUUGAAAAUGAAGUCAGAUAAUGAAACUUUCCUAAUAUAUUAUGGAAAUUGGAAUUCGAAAAUGCUUAAGGCAUACAUGAUUCAAAUGGGUUCGAGUCUUAAGUGACAAAUCAAUAUCGUAAUGCAAGAAAGAUACAAGGUAAUAUAGAGGCAUGAAAGAUGAUUAAGGACAAAAGGAUGACUCUUAGGAAUUGUGGUAUUGCAUGAGAUGCAAUGAUCAAGUUGAGAUAAAUCUUUGAGGCAUCAAUAGGAUUAUAAAGCAUACACGCAUAAUAGAUUAUAAUUCAAUGGAGAUGACAUUGUGAUGAAUGAUAUAUAGUAUAAGGAAACUCAAACAUAUGGUUGGAAAUGAUAUGAAUGAUAUGAAGUUAUACACAAGUAUAAUAAGAAGGUUGACAUGCACUAUAAGAAUUAUUAUAUUGAAACUAGGAUUGGGAUACGGAUGAAUAAAGGGGGAAUGUAGUCCAAGGCAUGUGAACACAUGGAUUCCUAUAUAUAAAGAGAGAUGUUGACAUUUGAAAAUGCAUGUAUAUAUGUAUAUAUGAAAUUGAUAAUUUUACUAACUAAAGUGAAGAAUGGUUCUCAGUAAUUGGGAGAUUUUGAAAUAGUGUCCAGAGAGGUCAGUGAGCUAAAGUGUUAACGGACAUGCAAUGAACGAUUAAAGUUAUGAGUGACUUUGAAGGUAAACCUUGGAUUGUUUAAGUUCUUAAUGGAACUCUAUUAAAGGAAGUGUAUAGACCAGUAUAAGAUGGAUGAAUCAAGGUUGAGAAAUUUGGUACGGAGCGAAUUAAUAAAAUGAUGAUUAGGUAUACAUAAGUAAGUAUGAUAUGUGAUCGAAAUCAGUAUAAUUGAGGUGAAGUUAUGGUUCAAAUUUAAUAAUGGUGAUAAAGGCAUGCUUAGUGUCUCGAUAUAAGAGAUCAUGGUUGUGAAAAGUAUUACUGAUCCAGUUCCAAAGGAUGAUAAUUGCCAUAAAUAAAGCAUUUAAUUGAACUGAAGGUGAACGAGGUAAAUAAAUUGAAUGUCCCUAUAGAAGGAACAAGGAGUAGGAUCAUAGAAGGAGAUUGAUAACGCAACAUCGACGGGAAUUCGAGGACGAAUUCUAUUUAAGUGGGGGAGAUUGAAAUACCCCAUACUUUGAUAUGGUGAUAAAUAAAGUUGGUCAGAUGCGAAUUGAGGCAUAAUAAGGAACUUUGGGAACCAAAGAGACAAGAUAAAAUUUUUAGAAUAAAAUAAUAUUUUAUUAAUGAAAUAAUAUUAAAAUAUUAAUAUUUAGCUAGAUGUCGAAAUCAAUCAUGAAGAAGGAUCAUAUGGUUGAUCCAAGUGGGGGAGAAGAUGUCAAGCCUGACUCUGUAAAAUAUUUGUCAUGACAUACAUGUGAUGGAUAGCAUGUUUGCAUGCUAGGAGAGUCUUGAAAAAUUUACAAAAGUCGGUAUUGUACCUAGAGGUACAAUAAAGUUAAUUUAAGCCUCAAACUAGAUAAAAUAGAGAAUUUAAGGUGAAAUUAAGAAUUUUAAAGUUCCAAAAUGGUUUAAUAUGGUGAUUUGGAGUUCGAGGAUCAAUUUGGAGUUAAACCGAAAAUUUCACUAUCUAGGGGUAAAAUGGUAAUUUUGCCACUUGAUGACAAAAUGGAAAUUUUUUUUAAAGAUUUUGAUUAUAUUUGACUUAUUGGAGUAUGAUUUUGAGGUUGAGAAGUGAAAAAUGGUGAUCCCGAUAUUUUUUAGAGUAUAGGGAUAAAAUGGUAAUUUUGUCACCCCAAGGGCAAAAUUAUAAUUUUUCACCACCAGAACACUUGUCCAGCACAUGGAUUUUACCCAAUUUUAUCAUGGAUAAUUGAAGGAAUUUAUAUGGUGGAGAGAGAAAGCUUAAUAGUUAAGAAAUAAAAAUGGACCAAUGAAAUGGUGACACAUGGCAUAUUUAUAACCAUUAAAUAUUUAGCUUUAAAGUUUACACAAAAUCAGCCCAUUUCUCAUUCAUAUGGCCUGCUAAAGAAGAACAAAGGAGGAAAGAAAAAAAAACAAGAACCCUAGGUGGGAAAAUUGAAGAAAAAAUGUGGGAUUUCAUGGGAUUAAGCUAAUGAAGGUAAAAUUUCUUGAUUUUGACUUGUGAUUUACACUACCCAUGCUUUCUUUUUUCAUUUUCCAUGGUUAGAUUUCAUGUUUUCAUGGUGAAUUCAUGGCUGCUUGGAAUGCGUAUGGAGAGAGAAUGAUGUUGGAUUGAUUUGAUUCUAAGUUAUGUUAGUAUUUUUAGUUAGUUUAUCAUGUCUAUAAACAAAACAACAAGAAAAGAAUUCAUUUUCCCCAUCACCCAUCAAUGGACGAAUUUUCUAGGGAGGAUAUUGUGGCUGAAAUUGAUGAUAUUUUAUGAUAUUUUGGUGAUAUGUGAUGUUUGGUGAGGCUAAAAAUUAAAUAGGAAAUUUUGGUGUGAAAAUCUGAAUUUUUGCUUAACAUAUAGACAUGUGUGAUUAUUGACCCGGGACUGAUAAGUUGAAUCUCAUUCAUAGUCACUGAGGUAAUUUAGGUAUAAUUGGAGUGUAGAAAGUGAGAAGAAUUGAAUUGGAGUUAAAUUGGAGAUUUUAGCCGAUUAGGCCGAGUAUAUUGUGACUUAGGUCGAAUAUCACAUUUAAGUGAUUAAUCAGACAUUUUGCAUCCCAUCGCAUGCAUUCAUUUAGAUUUAGAGAGCCUGUAAUAGUUUAUGAUAAAUUGACACAAUUUAUUGAAAUUCGUGUCACGUAUGAUGUAUAAGUGGUGAGCCCUCUAACAAAGGUAAAGAGAUUGUACCCGAAGAUCGGGAAUAAGAGUAUAUCGAACUCCUAGUACUGUGAGUACCCUUAUUAUCAUUUUAAUUAUCUAAGAUAUGUUUUAAUUUGGUUUUGGUGAAAUUUUAUGAAAAUGAGUUAAAUGGCAAAUUUUAGGUUUUAUAAACAAAAAUAAGUUUAAAUAAAAAGAUUUUAUAAAUUGUUUUGGAAAUUGAAUGAUGAUUUUGAAAAUAGAGUAAUUGGAAACCACUGAUAUGUUGUAAAUUUAAGAUUGAAUUGAUGGCUUAUGUUAUUCUGUUAGCAUGACUGAUUGGGCUGUGUUUUAUGAAUUGUAUGAAUUGUUUUAUUUUACCCUUGCAGGCUUGGUAGUAAUAUAUUAGCCCUGUCAUGCUAUCAAAAUUUUAUUGUAUAGUGGGUUUAGCUUACUGCAGUAGGCGGGUUUCAGUGGACUAGCCUAUUAGAGGGGCACGGUAAACCCUGUUAUAUUUUACCUCGGUUGGAGAGGCGAGUAGGGUAACUCCCGAGGUAUGAUUUUAGAGUUCACUUCAUGCCAAACCACCACGUGAAGGUGAGCUCGGCCAACGCCAAGGAACGACUAUAUUUUCAAAAUGAAAACAUGUUUUAUGCGUACAUUACUUUCUAAUAUCCUUGGCGGACUCAGUUGGGAUAGCCCUUGGCCAAGGUAUCCCAGAUAACUGAGUGUGAUAACAAUUUUUGGCAUGAGCCAAGCUUUUAAAGAAAUUCAUAAGCCAUAUUGAUUACUUGAUUUAAAUAAUUUGAUUUCAUUUUGUUGAAAUAAGUUGAAAAAUGAUAAAUUACAAUUUGAUGAAAUGUUUUAAUAGUCUCCUUUUACUCGUCUUUAGAUAUUUUAAAUGAUAUUUGUUUACUCACUAGGAUUUUAUAAUCUCAACCACCUUCCUUUCCACCCAUUUCAGGCAUCAGGAUAGUCGGUAAAUAGCUCAUUUCAUCGAGGACUACAAUUGGAUUGGCAUCCUCAAAAUAUGUAGGUUCAAUUCUUUUGAUACUUUUAGUCAUUCGUGGGCUCGCGUGUCACUGUAAAUUUAAUUUUAUACUUUGGUUAUCUAUAUUACAAUAUAUAUAAAUUUAUUUUGCUUUUUCGUUGUAAAAAUUAUUUACCCAG
rnacentral:lncRNA from 1 species